rnacentral:rRNA from 1 species
UACGUAGGGGGCUAGCGUUGUCCGGAUUUAUUGGGCGUAAAGAGCGUGUAGGCGGCCAGGUAGGUCUGCUGUGAAAACUCGAGGCUCAACCUCGAGACGUCGGCGGAAACCAUCUGGCUAGAGUCCGGAAGAGGAGAGUGGGAAUUCCUGGUGUAGCGGUGAAAUGCGCAGAUAUCAGGAGGAACACCGGUGGCGAAGGCGGGUCUCUGGGCCGAUACUGACGCUGAGGAGCGAAAGCGUGGGGAGCGAACAGG